AAGUUGUGGACGAAAUUAGAAUAAGAAUUGCUGGUAAUACGGCUGCGCCUUGUUUCCAUGUGCUAAAAAAUAAGGGAUAUAAAGUAACAAUGGAAACUCAUGCAUUAUCUGACGAUUGUUUAGAUUGUGUAUAUGAUUGGUAUGCGGAAAAAAAUGGACAAUUUUUUAGUGCAACGAGUCCAGAAGAGUUACUUGGAUUAGUUGCAAUGUGGGAAGUUCGUGGUAAUGACUGGAGAGCUAAUUUGAAUGAGAUAAAUACUUAUCAAAAAGCCAUAGAAGAAUCCCCGUUUUUUGAUAAAAACGGCAAUGAAAUAGAGUCUGACUAAAUUUUAUUGAUAUAGCAACGAUAAUAACCGGAAAUUUCUUCCAGAUCUUUCCGGCUUUUUAUUAUUUAACUUUCGUUCAGCACACUAAACAUCCCGUCUCGCAUCCCCUUAACUGGCUGUUUAACCUGAUAAAGUUCCCUGCGCAGUUCCUGUACUUCGUUGUUAUCCCAAGCAGGAUCAAACAUCCCUCCGAGAUCUUCACGGUAACGCCCGUGCCGAUCUCAAAUCCCGCUUUUCUCAGCCAUUUGGCGCUGAUUUUGAUCACCGGCGUGUCGCUGCGGUUGGGCAGAUAACCCACGGUACAGCGACGCUGUGUUUUGGAAAUGGU
rnacentral:ncRNA from 19 species